UACGUAGGGGGCAAGCGUUGUCCGGAAUCAUUGGGCGUAAAGAGCGUGUAGGCGGCCCGGUAAGUCCGCUGUGAAAGUCCAGGGCUCAACCCUGGGAUGCCGGUGGAUACUGUCGGGCUCGAGUCCGGAAGAGGAGUGUGGAAUUCCUGGUGUAGCGGUGAAAUGCGCAGAUAUCAGGAGGAACCCCAAUUGCGAAGGCAGCUCGCUGGGACGUUACUGACGCUUAGACGCGAAAGCGUGGGGAGCAAACAGG
rnacentral:rRNA from 1 species